UUAUUAUGUUUGAUGAUUCAGGAUUUCCUGAGGAUUGUUUGAGGUCCAGUGACGGAGAGAACCCAACCCAGACAGAUGAACUGAACAAUCUGGACCCGCAGGACCCACUGGAUCUCCAGGAUCCCGUAGAUCCUGUGGACCCUUCCGACCUUCAGGAUCCUCUGGACCCUGUGGAUCCACAAGAUCCACUGGAACUUGAGACCAAUGAGAUCCAGUAAGACCAUUCAGCGCCAGAUGCCCUCUAGGAUCACCAAUAUUCAAACAUCAGUUCUGGGAUGACGGCCUAUACCCAGAGAGACUCAUUUGUUUCCAUCAUAAAGAAACAAAACAAGCCAACACAGAACUCAGACACACCUGUUUAUAUUCCUCAGUCAUUCACUCUGCACUUCUUCCAU